rnacentral:lncRNA from 1 species
GGUGGCCACUGCAGGAGGGGGUCUCAGAGACCACAGGAGCUGAAGAGUCUUUACCGGUGAGCCCUGGAGUCCCAGUUCUUCCACAAACAAAACAGAGUGUCCCUCUUCUGGAAAAUCGCUUGCAAUGUUCCAUGUAAG